GAUUCUUGUGUUAGUCAGUGAAACUCCAGCUCACGCAAAAGCCUUCAUUUUAGCCUGAGCAUGUGUCAAGUUUUCCUGAGCUACUGACAUUCAAGGAGCCAAAGGUGACCAGAUACCACAUGACCAAACACUAGAUCUGCCGGACUGAACUCUUAAGGAUUCCUAAAUGGCUUCCCUAGCGACAAACAGCAAUAAUUGCAGAUCCUCGCCCCAUUACCUACCAGACUCUGGGCAAAACUUGAGCAGCAUGGUUUUGAAAACUUUGAGUUUUGGAAAACAGUGAGUCAGGGAUAGGUACAUCCGGUAACCGCAAAAAUACACGCUACUGUCGAUUUUCCUAGCUUACAAACAAAUAGAGCUCUGUGCCAUUUUCUAGGGGUGUGUGGCUAUUACAGAGGAUUCUGUAAGAAUUUCUCCAGUGUUGUGGCUCCCCUCAAACCGUUUGUGUGGACAAUUUCUUGUCAGACUGCUUGUGAGUCUGCGAGGGCAUUACUGUGUAGUUCCCCAGUUCCUGCUGUACCCUAUUUCACCUCUCUUUUUAAACAAGAAAUUGACAGUAGCACUUGUGAUCCGACUGUUGUUCUCAUGCAGGAGGAUCGGCAAUAGUUCAACAAACAUCAAAUGAACUAUAGCAAGAGUGAGGAGUGCAGUCAAUGGAGAGGGGUUCAGAGUAGAGUUGCUAGUGCUCAGAA